CCCAGAGGAUCCAGAUCACAGUCUCCAGGAGGCAGUGUGGAUGAGCUCUGGAAGGCCAGGGCAGGUGCUAUGCAGAGCAGCACAGCAGAAGUUCAAGUUCAAGCUGUUGAAGCAGACUCGGUUAAAAGGGGUGAAGGGAAGGUCAGGGAUAGGAUGGCUUGAACCAAGACGAGCUCUCCUGCUAGAAGGAAGGGUAGAGGCCUGCAGCCUGGCCAUUCCAGGACAGAAAGGAGCAGAUGUGUCUGCUCUGGCCAUGUGUUCCUCUGUCCCAGGCAUACAAAAGUCCCAUUGAUGCUGCCCCUCACCCCCGCAUCCUGGGGCCAGUGCCCCAGAACAGGGCUCUGCGGGCCUCUCCUGCUCCUAGCUGACAGUCCAGCUGUUGCUGCUGCUGCUGCUGUCCAGGCAUGCCAGGCCUGGGCAAUAUGAAGUCACAUGCUCUGCGCGGGCGAGGCCAUGCACUGGCUGGGAGAGUGUCAGGGAGCACAGCAAGGUACGUAUUCAUGUGCAGUACAGGAUCUGCAGAAAAGCUGGGUGCCAAGAAGCAUUGCCUCCCCCUUCAGUCCCGCCCAUUUUCCAGAAGGGCAAAUCCUUGGGCAAACAGUCAGACAGGUGCAAGAGGCAAAGCAAAAGGUAGGGCAGGAAAAAGCAAAUACCAAAGCCUCUGCUCUACCGCUGCCCUGCUGGACUGUGUUCUGGCAGCCCUGCCUGUAUGACCACUAGUGCCCCAACACUUGGUCUGCGGUAUGUGGAGAGUCUCCCUGCUCUGCAUUCCCUCAGAGGGCCUGACUAUGAAACUGGGGGAGCAGCAACAGGAAGAAUGGGCAGGGCCCGAAGCCUCCAAACUGGGCUCUGACAGUUGCCUGCCACCCACCUAGGCCCGCCACACAUCCCCCUCAAGCCUUGUCUAGGGGACUGGGUGAGUAACUCCACAGGAGAUGUGCUGGAGAGGGGCAGGCUCACCUGGGCUUGGAGUCUGCUGAAGGACUUUGGACAAGUCCUAGGGCCUUGGGGCCAGUGAAUCUCACCAUUCACAACCUUCAAAGUUAAUUGGAUGAGGCCUUUGUGGGAGUCCUUGGCAUGUGUCUGGCAGGAGAGAUACUCUAAAGAGAGAUACUUGUGCCCCUCCCUUUGGCUAUCAGGCUAUAGAAACAAUAGUCCCCAAAGAAUUAAAAAAUGUCCCUAGGAAUCUCAGGCUGGGGGAAGAGAAGGGCUGAAGCCUGUUGCCUGAAGAGAAACUUGCUUCCUAGGAAGGGAUUUCACAUAAUUCUCGCCACCUUACAGGCCAGACUGAAGCAGAGUCUGGUGAGUGGGGCCACACCCUGACCAGGAUUGUUUAGUUAAGCAUACCUCUUUGCCUUCUAUUUAGACCUAAGCCCCCUGCCAGGACUCUGGAGACAGAUGUGGAGGGGUCAUUGGACCCAUCCAUAUCUUCUUCCCCUCAGCAUGGCUGUGUUGAGCUCUCUCUUUUCACUACUACUUGUCUCUAACUGGCCAACAGGGAACAGAUUGUCAGUCUAGCUUGUUGGGUCUGCCAGAGCUUAGGCUUUGACCCUAACAGCUCUAGUAACAGACACAGGGUUCAGCACACACAAGCUACUCACUGUGUGGAUGCUCAGCCUGGAGCUGCCUGUGGGUGUGGGUGGCCUGGGAGCAGGUUCAGAAUGAGGAGUAGUGCUGCAGAGGUCUAGCAUGCUCACCCAGCUGUUCUUGGGUCCCAUGGGCAAACCAUAUCAACACCUGACCACUGACUGACCUGUGGCUAUAGGGCCAGGCAGGGGGAAAGGAUAGGCCACAUCGACUCCAGUGUCAGGGCCUGCUCUUGCUGGCCUCAAACGCAGGGCAGAACACCUAGAACUGAGAGUGACUCCUGCCACUCGCUUUGGCUUUAGGCUGACCCCAACCUAGAUGCAAACAGAGGACAGGCUAUAUUCUCAGGGUCCAGGAGAGGCAACGUGGUUGUCCUUUGUUCCAUGUGCUUCAGUUGGGUGUGCUGCAGGCAGGGCUCUUCAGGCCUCCUGUUCUCAGCCCACAAUGCUCUCCCCAAUCUUGCUGUCUACAGAGCUGUUUAGGAUUCCCAGGUUUAGCCUAAACAGCCCUCCAAGACACUGUUGGGGCCCACCAACCCCUCAGGUAGAACAAGUGAUGGCCCUCCAUCCUGCACUCCCUGAAGGCUGGGGGCUGCCACAGGGCAGGGCUGCACGACCUGCAUCUCCAUAUCCUUGGCAUCCAGCACAGAGCCUGGUGCCUAGCAGCUGCUCAAGAAAUGUCAAACAAGGCCCCAGCCCAGCUCCUUGCUCCGCAGAUCACGCUGCCAGCACACUUGGCCAAGAAGAUUCAAAGUCAGCUAGCAGGAACAGGGCGAGACUGUGUCCCUGAGCUGGGGAGUUCGAGGCUUCUGCUCCUUCAGAAAGUGCCUACCUUGCAUGCAUCAAGCUUCACCCACAAUCAGAGGCAGCUCUGGGGACAUGAAGGCUGCCUCCCUGUCUCCAAAAGCAGAAACCAAAGUUAACAGGGGGUGAGCAAGGGAGGUGCACCGGAACUGCAGGGAGAAAGGCAGUUGUGGCUGCCAUCUGCUGUGAGCAAGAUGUUUGGAGAACACGCACUCCUAGCUCUGAGGUCUCCCAGCCAACAUGGGAGGGUGGGGUGGCCUCUCUGCACAUGGGAGCUGGCAGCUCAGCCAAGACCUGAGAGGCCACCGAGGGGUGCUAGGGCCAGUCCUACCCACCCAAACUCUGUAGCUGCACCUGCCUGACCUGAUUCUUGAGCAUAUGGGGGCCAGGGUGCUACGGACUUUGGAGAGUCAAUUCUACAAUAUGACAAUGGUAACUUAAACAUAAGGAUAAUAAGGACAACAGUAUCGGUUACUGUUAACGGGAAGCAUAGUUGCUUGUCUGAGUCUCUUCUAGCCAUCACCUCAUUUCACCCCAUCAUUCUCAUAGGAGAAGGGCAAUCAGGGUCCAAGAAAGGGUGACUAGUCCCUGCUCCUCCCUGUAGUGGGGCUUGACUAAUUAGGACCCACCCAAACAAGGUUCUGGGGUCCUUGGCUAUUUUUCUUUGUUUGUUUUUCGAGACAGUGUCUCUCUGAGUAGUCUUGGCUGUCCUGGAAGUCACUUUGUAGACCUGACUGGCCUUGAACUCGGAGAUCCACCUGUUUCUGCCUCCCAAGUGCUGGGAUUAAAGGCAUGAGCUACCACUGUCCAGCUGGUCCUUGACUAGUUUUUUUCCCCUUAAGAUAGGGUUUCUUUGUGUAGCCCUGGCUUUCCUUAGACCAGGCUGGCCUCAAAUACACAGAGAUCUGCCUGCCUCUUCCUCGGGAUUGUUGAGAUUAACAGUGUGCACCACUGAAACCAAGGAUACAAUGACCUGUCAUAGGCCAUAUGCGCUCAGCAGCAGGAAGGGAGCAAACCUUAGAACCCCACCAGCUCCCCAAGUUCCUACAACUUUGCUCCACCUGGUAUAGGACUGGUGUCACCUUCCUGUCCUCAGCAAUGCCUAACUUACCACAUGGGGCUACCCUGCCUCCAUACAAACAGCUUGACACAUUUUCUUUGAAGAGAAGCCCUUAGAAGGAGGAGACUAUGCUCACCCACUGGGAAGAGCCGUCCCAGCUGGAACCUGAUGCUCCCUCAUGUCACCCAAGUAUGUUGUCUGUUUAGGUCACAGCUGGCUUAGCCUUAGUGCUCCCUUCCCCAGUUGUGGGCCAAGCUGAGUACCAGGCUAGACUUCAAUCUGGUGAAGCCUAGGCUUGCCAGCCUCAUUCCUGCCUGGGACACCUCACCACUGUGCCUGUCCACAAGGAAUCAGCAGCCUUCUGCCCAGAUGUGUUACAGACACUCAGGUACCCUGCUUGCCAGAGGUGCUGGCUCUGGCACCUCACCAACAACACUGCCACAUUUCUCACAAGGCUGGAUGAAUGGGUGUCAUGACUAAAUCAUGCCAGGGUCUCCACUCUCACUUCUAGAGGCAACCAUCCCCACGGCUACUCUACCCAGAGAGUCAGGGGCAACAACAUCCCCCACUGGUAACAGGAAGACAGGGAAUCUGGGGCUAGUCACCCAGAACUGCACAUCCCUCCAACCCACCCCCCAGCUCAACCCACGCAGCACUGCUGCCUCCGCCCCCACAGGCCUGCUAGCAAGCCAUGCACUCCAGUGCUGUCUGCUCAGUCCUCCCCCGCCCCUCCCCACACUGCGAUUGCAACACCUCUGUCCUCCUGCCUGCUGAGGACACAGGACCUGUGUGCUUUUUGGUGGGCGUGGGGAGCCAACAGUGUUCUCUUUUCUCCCAGGGGUCCUUGGCCACAGCUAGGUCACUGGGCUGACCCUACUUCCUGCCUCUCACAGUCCUCAGUCUGGUGGCCCUGUCUGUGUCUGGAAAGUGCCUCUGAGUCAAUGGCUUGCUUAUUCCCUGCUCUCUUGUCAAGGACAGGGCCAGGAAGGCCUUUGGCCCAGGAAUUUUCAGGAGCAGCCAAGCUCAAGACCUGAGCCUUACUUGUCUCUUGUUGGGAAGUAGGGGAGGUGGACUCUGGUAUCCCUGGAAUGUUGUACUGACUCUAUCCCCCUCACCCUAUCUUGGGACUGAGUGUGAGUCGCUGUCACCACCCAGACACCUUCACAACUCCUGCCUCAGCAGAGGCACAGUCAGGCCCAGGGUGAGUCAGCCAGGGAAGUCCCAGCAUUAGCACCCACCACUGGAGAGCCUCCGCUGACACCUAUGAGUGGGACAUCCAGCCCCUCCCACAGAGGGUGAGAGGAACACCCGGGCUCCCUCACCCCCAUUCCUGUUCCCUGAGAAGAGACAGGCAGGUGGAGCAGGAGAAAGUCACACUGCAGACAUCCUGAAAGGUAGGCCACGGGCACACAGCUGCUUCUUACAGCCUCUAACCCCUCAGGCUUGGCACAUUAGCAGAGAGGAGUCCCCUGCUCAGUGCCAGGCACCCUGACCUCUGAGUACCCUGCUUUCCAGGUUUUGCCACCUGUGUGGCUCCAGAAGACGAUGGGGUGGGCACCCUACUCAUUCUUGAGGGGCCUCCUCUUGGUCAAGCCGGGAUGGAAGGAGGACCAAGGCCCAGACCAGAGAGAGGUCCACCCCAUCCCCUUUCCAGGAGGACCAAAUGGUGGAUACACCUUGCACGGGGCCCACUCUCCUGCCACUGCUGCCAGGAAGCCCCAGAGCUGAGCGUUACUAUUAGUUCCCCACACCGUCUCUAGGCCACAUGAAAAAGCAGCUCUUCUGGGCUCCUGGACUAGGGGACGCAUACUGGAGAAGACACAGAGGCCCAGGGGCUGCUCUCCACCUUCUCGGGAUCACAUGCCUGCUGGUUAUGGCCUGGACAGGUAUUAGAGACCCCAUCCAUGGGCUGUGGGCUGUGAUAGGUAGCUGGGAAAGCUCUCACUCAGGCUUCUCCAGCCCCUGCUAGCUGGGCUUGAUCUUCAGCUCCUUCUGGGCUUCCCCUUUCUUGCUUCUUCCUAAAGCUGGGCCUCUUGCACUUCCGGGCCAGGGAAGCCGGUGGUGGGAGAGAUUCAGAAACCCAUCCACUAUGUUGAAAGAAGACUGGAGACAUGCUGCCAUAUACAUCUCCUGGGUUUACUCAAAUGUCAUGAAUGGCUUUCUUCCACCCCUUGCCAAAGCGCAUGCAUGCACGUGUGCGCACGAGCGCUCACGCACGCACACACACACACACACACACACACACACACACACACACACCACGACCUGAGCCACUCAAUGGAAAAUAGUAGCUCGAAGUACUAAGUCUCAGGGCUGCUGGAAGUGAGGUCUUAGACACAAAGUCAGGCAUUGGGGCACUCAUGAGGCAGCUCAGACCAUGAAAGAAAGAGAGAAGGCAGGGCAGACCCCACUCACGAGAUCCAGGAGGCCAACCUCAGGGCCAGGUUCACUCAGGCACCCUAGGUCUCUCAGUGGGCCUACACAGUCUCCCACCACUCAUCAUAUCCCUAUGGUCACAGGCAUGGAGACCUAGAAACCAGAGACAGACAGCCCUGAUCAAGCCCUUGUCUAUCGAGGGGACCAUGUGCCAGCAGCCACUUAGACACAAACCUGGCAGCUGGAACAGACAGGAGAGGUCUUCUCUGGCAACCAAAGGUGCUCAAAAGACCAGGCAGUGGAAAAGGAAUGGGAAGGCAAGCAACUCACUACAGAGCAGAGCAGAGCUACAAGUGCCAGAAUUAGAGUUCAGACCUCUCCAUCCUCACAACCUACAGACAAGGACCAGUAGCCCAGGGAAGUACUCUGGCAUGGCCAAGGACACACGGCUGUGGGUUUUGGCCUGUCAGAAAUGCCACUCAGGUCUCCUUUAGUCAAGCAUUACUUCCUUAGCAUGUUGCUCUAUGAGCCUAGAUUCUGGAGUUUAUGCUUGGGCACCUGGGUGAUACAUUCUGAUGGAAAAUGAACUGUACUGCGUGAGGGUAUUUUUGGCUGUCUCUCUCCACACCUUCGCCCUGUGUAGCAGACAGGUGUCUUUACCUUCACCAGAGAAACAAACUGAGAGAAGCAAGAAAUAGAUCAAAGUGAUGAACAAGGAGCACCAGGACCUGAAGGAGAGGGGACAGGACACGGUUACCUUGGCCAGAGUGCCACAGUCCUGGAAGAUGAAUCAAUCUUCCACUAGCCAAAGAGGCCUUUUGUCCCAUGCUGGGAGAAUCUUCUGUGUUCCAGAGACCCCGGACCAAACACGAUUAUGUCACAUUUUCCUCUUACUAUGAAAUUAUGUUCUCUAUGGAAAACAGAAACCACCACCACUAACAAUAAAAGAACCAGAAGCCGCCCCCAAUCCCACUAGGAAAAUUAACUAUGAACAACCAUCUAGUCCUUUGUUUUCUCUGUCCAAAUAUAGUGUGUGAUGGUUACUGUUGACAGGAUCUAGGAUCACCUAGGAGACAGACCUCUGGGCAUGCCUGUGAGAGUUUGGAGACUGGGUUAGCUGAGGCGGGAGAUCCACUGUAACUGUGGGUGGCAUCGUUCCAUGGGCUGGAGUCACAGACUAAAUAAAAAGGAAGUGGGACACCAGCAUCUGUCUCUCUCUGCUUCCUGACUUUGGAUAGAUACCAUGUGACCAGCUGCCUCAGGCUUUUGGUGCCAUGACUUCCCUGACAUAAUGGACUUGAACAAUGAGCCAGAAUAAACUCUUCCUUUCCUGA